UUUUCCCGCUGGAGCGGGACGAGGAAAGUGA
rnacentral:sRNA from 1 species